UGCCAGCCGCCGCGGUAACACGUAGGCACCAAGCGUUGUCCGGAUUUAUUGGGCGUAAAGAGCUCGUAGGCGGUUCGGUAAGUCGGGUGUGAAAACUCUGGGCUCAACCCAGAGACGCCACUCGAUACUGCUGUGACUUGAGUACGGUAGGGGAGCGGGGAAUUCCUGGUGUAGCGGUGAAAUGCGUUGAUAUUGGAAGGAACGCCAAAAGCGAAAGCAGCUAACUACAGAGAACCUGACGGUGAGAGACGAAAGCUUGGGGAGCGAACGGGAUUAGAUA
rnacentral:rRNA from 1 species